rnacentral:rRNA from 1 species
AUUGAACGCUGGCGGCAGGCCUAACACAUGCAAGUCGAGCGAGCGGCGGACGGGUGAGUAAUGUCUCGGAAACUGCCUCAUGGAGGGGGAUAACUCCUGGAAACGGUAGCUAAUACCCCAUACCAUCAGAUGUGCCCCGAUGGGAUUAUCUAGUAGGUGGGGUAACGGCUCACCUAGGCGACAAUCCCUAGCUGGUCUGAGAGGAUGACCAGCCAAACUGGAACUGAGACACGGUCCAGACUCCUACGUGAGGCAGCAGUGGGGAAUAUUGCACAAUGGGCGCAAGCCUGAGGCAGCCAUGCCGCGUGUGUGAAGAAGGCCUUCGGGUUGUAAAGCACUUUCAGCGGGGAGGCGUUACCCGCAGAAGAAGCACCGGCUAACUCCGUGCCAGCAGCCGCGGUAAUAC